GGUUAAGUGGCUGAGAAUAGGCGAUAGAUUGUAAAUUUAUAGACGGAGGCUCCUCCUUUGACCA
rnacentral:tRNA from 1 species